UUUUAUGUUGUUUAUUAAUAAUUUAUUAUAUAUGUAUAUAUAUAUAUAUAUAUAUAUAUAUUAUAUAUAUAUUAAAAAUAGUUAUAAAGUUAUUUUUUUUAGUAUUAAUUUAAGAAAAAAUAAAAUUUAUUAUAGUAUAUUAGUAUUGAAAAAGAAAAUUGAAAUAUUAUGAAAAAUUUAAAUAUAAAAAGAAAAAUUUAAUUUUUGUACCUUGUGUAUCAGGGUUUAUUAAAAAAAAAUUAUUAAAAUUAAUUUUCUCGAUUUUAAAAGAUUUAAUAUAUUAAAAAAGUUAAAGUAAUAAAUUUAUUUUAAAUAAUAUAUUUGAAAUGAAAUGUUUUUCGUUUUUAAAGGUAUCUAGUUUAUUAAGAAAUAAAUUUAAUUUAUAAAUUUUAUAUUAUUUAAUUAUUUAUAUUAAUUAAAUAAAUAUUUAAUUUAAAUAUUUUAUGGGAUAAGCUAUGAAAUAAAUUAUUAAAAAUUAUUAAUUAAUUAUGAAAUAUAGGGUUAAAAUUAUUCAUUAUUAAUAAAAAUGUAAUAAUUUAUUAAAUAAUAUAAAAAAUUUAAAUAAUUUUAAUUAUUUAUUAAUAUAUAAUUUAUAAUAAAAAAAAAUAAGAAAUAAUGAUAUAAUUAGUAUAAAUUAAUUUAAAAAUAUAAAAUUAUUUAAAUUUUAGUUAAAGAAUUCGGCAAAAAUAUAUAUAUUCACCUGUUUAACAAAAACAUCUCUUUAUGAAUAAAAUAUAAAGUUUAACCUGCCCACUGAAUAUUAAAUGGCUGCAGUAUAUUGACUGUACAAAGGUAGCAUAAUAAUUAGUUUUUUAAUUGAGAACUGGAAUGAAUGGUUGGAUGAAAUAUAAACUGUUUUAAUUAAAAUAAAUUUGAAUUUUAUUUUUUAGUAAAAAAGCUAAAAUUUAUUUAAAAGACGAGAAGACCCUAUAAAUCUUUAUAUAAAAAUUUUAAUUUUAAUUAUUUAGAUGAUUUAAUGAGUUAAUAUUUUUAUAUUUUAUUGGGGAGAUAGUAAAAUUUAAUAAACUUUUAUUAAUAAUUUCAUUAAUUUAUGAAUUAUUGAUUAAUUUUUAAUGCAUAAUAAAAUAAGUUACUUUAGGGAUAACAGCGUAAUUAUUUUGGAGAGUUCAUAUUGAUAAAAUAGA
rnacentral:rRNA from 1 species